rnacentral:rRNA from 1 species
GAUGAACGCUAGCUACAGGCUUAACACAUGCAAGUCGAGGGGCAGCAUGGUCUUAGCCUGCUAAGGCCGAUGGCAACCGGCGCACGGGUGAGUAACACGUAUCCAACCUGCCGUCUACUCUUGGACAGCCUUCUGAAAGGAAGAUUAAUACAAGAUGGCAUCAUGAGUCCGCAUGUUCACAUGAUUAAAGGUAUUCCGGUAGACGAUGGGGAUGCGUUCCAUUAGAUAGUAGGCGGGGUAACGGCCCACCUAGUCUUCGAUGGAUAGGGGUUCUGAGAGGAAGGUCCCCCACAUUGGAACUGAGACACGGUCCAAACUCCUACGGGAGGCAGCAGUGAGGAAUAUUGGUCAAUGGGCGAGAGCCUGAACCAGCCAAGUAGCGUGAAGGAUGACUGCCCUAUGGGUUGUAAACUUCUUUUAUAAAGGAAUAAAGUCGGGUAUGGAUACCCGUUUGCAUGUACUUUAUGAAUAAGGAUCGGCUAACUCCGUGCCAGCAGCCGCGGUAAUACGGAGGAUCCGAGCGUUAUCCGGAUUUAUUGGGUUUAAAGGGAGCGUAGAUGGAUGUUUAAGUCAGUUGUGAAAGUUUGCGGCUCAACCGUAAAAUUGCAGUUGAUACUGGAUAUCUUGAGUGCAGUUGAGGCAGGCGGAAUUCGUGGUGUAGCGGUGAAAUGCUUAGAUAUCACGAAGAACUCCGAUUGCGAAGGCAGCCUGCUAAGCUGCAACUGACAUUGAGGCUCGAAAGUGUGGGUAUCAAACAGGAUUAGAUACCCUGGUAGUCCACACGGUAAACGAUGAAUACUCGCUGUUUGCGAUAUACUGCAAGCGGCCAAGCGAAAGCGUUAAGUAUUCCACCUGGGGAGUACGCCGGCAACGGUGAAACUCAAAGGAAUUGACGGGGGCCCGCACAAGCGGAGGAACAUGUGGUUUAAUUCGAUGAUACGCGAGGAACCUUACCCGGGCUUAAAUUGCAGAUGAAUUACGGUGAAAGCCGUAAGCCGCAAGGCAUCUGUGAAGGUGCUGCAUGGUUGUCGUCAGCUCGUGCCGUGAGGUGUCGGCUUAAGUGCCAUAACGAGCGCAACCCUUGUUGUCAGUUACUAACAGGUUCCGCUGAGGACUCUGACAAGACUGCCAUCGUAAGAUGUGAGGAAGGUGGGGAUGACGUCAAAUCAGCACGGCCCUUACGUCCGGGGCUACACACGUGUUACAAUGGGGGGUACAGAGGGCCGCUACCACGCGAGUGGAUGCCAAUCCCCAAAACCUCUCUCAGUUCGGACUGGAGUCUGCAACCCGACUCCACGAAGCUGGAUUCGCUAGUAAUCGCGCAUCAGCCACGGCGCGGUGAAUACGUUCCCGGGCCU